ensembl:lncRNA novel transcript
UUUAAUGAGUAAGCCCGGAAGAAAGCUCUGGUCUUCUUUCUAGGAUAGUGCAAUAAACUUGUAGAGGAUUAUGAGCAAACAGAUUAUCUUGCUGAUUAUGUCUGGGUUCCCAGGGGAGAACAUUAAUAUCUGCUGGAGUCCUGAUGGGCAGACCAUUGCUGUAGGCAACAAGGAUGAUGUGGUGACCUUUAUUGAUGCCAAGACACACCGUUCCAAAGCAGAAGAGCAGUUCAAGUUCGAGGUCAACGAAAUCUCCUGGAACAAUGACAAUAAUAUGUUCUUCCUGACAAAUGGCAAUGGUUGUAUCAACAUCCUCAGCUACCCAGAACUGAAGCCUGUGCAGUCCAUCAACGCCCAUCCUUCCAACUGCAUCUGUAUCAAGUUUGACCCCAUGGGGAAGUACUUUGCCACAGGAAGUGCAGAUGCUUUGGUCAGCCUCUGGGAUGUGGAUGAGUUAGUGUGUGUUCGGUGCUUUUCCAGGCUGGAUUGG